AUGAUAUGGGGAGUCCCUGUGACUUUUUUAUUUUUGCUCUGCACAGCUCCUGGCCUCGUCUCAGCUGCAUUGGACUGCACGAUGAAUGAUCUGUCCAAGGCUUCCUGGCGGCUGGGGGCAAAUCCAGGCGAGACGACUCUGGGCUCCAGGAGGGCUGCCUUGGUGAAGCAGGCUCUGCCCGGCACAGCGAGCGAGGAGAGGGACGCAGACCCAGCAUGUGCACGCAUCCAGCCCCACGUGUGUUUGGCGCAAGCUCUCCAGGUGUUCCCAGACUUCUCUGCCACAUGUUUUUUGGAGCCUCCCUUCUGGUACCCGUGGCCUCCUGGCAAUCUCACAGGAGCCUUGUCCGAGUCACCUGAGCUCCUGGUGUCCUCCAUGAGCAUGCCCCCAAAGAAACAGUUUGGCCAAAUGGAGCCUGAGCAUCAGUGCAUGAGGAACCUGCAGGGAAGGGGGUCGCUGACAUCCUGGCUACCCACCAUGAAGGGUCUCCUUCCACCGAGCUCAUCCUGGUGCUGGGGAGGAGGAACAUGGGAGCUCGCUGAGCCGGACACGGCUCCCUCCCUGCCUGGCGGAGGCGCAGGGUCACUCCGUGGUGCUCCCAUCAGGGAGGAAGCCUUCCCGCGCCCCGGCAAACCCCUAGUGAAAGACAAUCAGGCUCGCUGUCACCGAGCUAAUUCCGACGGCAUAAAAGCAGUAAUGAAAUUCACGGCAGGAUUAGCCUCUCCAUCCAAUGGGCCGGCGCCACGGUGACAUAUCGUGCUUCUUGCCCGAAUGUAACACACCAUCUAAUUUACGUCGUGUAGCGAGCGGGAAUGAAAUGUUCAUAAAGAAUUGCUGAAUCUUGUCACCUUAACUGCGGCCCCGGGCUCUGAGGCAUCUGUCAGGGAGAGGAGAGCGGAGAAGGAGGCUCCUGCCUCGCAAAGCUGCGGCCGGGGCUUUGGGAAAGGGGCGAUGGCUGCAUCAAUCUUCUGGGUCUGCGCGGCGGAGACGCAGCGCGUGGGGACGAGGGAUUCGGGAUGGAGGCAGCCAGGCUGCAGGAUGGGGCUGUGCACAUGUACGUGUGGUGCUGGGUCGGGGCUGUCGGACUGUCUCCCCCACAACCAUGUGCCUGGGAUGCAGGAGAAGGGACCUGUGGGGUGGGAGUCAGCAUUCCUGGAGAGCCCAGUGCUGGCAGCAAGGUGCACAUUCCCAGUUUCCAUGCUGCACCCUACGCAGGCGCACCCUGGUCACAACCCCGUGUAUUCACCCGUCUCAGGAGGUGUGAGUGUCUGUGAGCAUCCCUUCUGCUGUGGCUCGGCAGCCCUGUUCCCCCCCGCUCCCCUCCCCAAAUGUUUAUUUGCAGUUAAUUUUCAUGGAUCCUAAUGGCUCGGAUCCUGCUAGGGGGGAAUCACGCUUGCCUCUUCAGUCAGAAAGUUUGCAGAAAAAAUAGCCCUUUCCUGUUGUGUUUGGAGUAAUAGCGUCUUGGUGUCCAGAGGGGAGUUGGCAAGGAAACAGGGAAGUUUAUUAAGAGUAAGAGAUUAAAUUCCACCGGGUUUAAUUGGAAGUGCUUGAG
ensembl:lncRNA